UACGGAGGGUGCAAGCGUUAUCCGGAUUUACUGGGUUUAAAGGGUGCGCAGGCGGAUAUGUAAGUCAGUGGUGAAAUCUCCGGGCUUAACCCGGAAACUGCCGUUGAUACUAUAUAUCUUGAAUGCUGUGGAGGUAAGCAGAAUAAUGUCAUGUAGCGGUGAAAUGCUUAGAGAUGACAUAGAAUACCUAUUGCGAAGGCAGCUUACUACGCAGAUAUUGACGCUCAUGCACGAAAGCGUGGGGAUCAAACAGG
rnacentral:rRNA from 1 species